rnacentral:rRNA from 1 species
UCGGUUCCCGAGUAAAGUGGCGCACGGGUGAGUAACGCGUGGGUAACCUACCCUGGAAUCUGGGAUAACACUGCGAAAGUGGUGCUAAUACCGGAUACGAUCCCAUCGCAAGGUGGGGUGAAAGUCGGCCUCUCGAAGAAGCUGAUGUUCUGGGAUGGGCUCGCGUCCUAUCAGCUAGUUGGUAGGGUAACGGCCUACCAAGGCGACGACGGGUAGCUGGUCUGAGAGGAUGAUCAGCCACACUGGCACUGAAACACGGGCCAGACUCCUACGGGAGGCAGCAGUGAGGAAUUUUGCGCAAUGGGGGCAACCCUGACGCAGCAACGCCGCGUGGGUGAAGAAGGUCUUCGGAUCGUAAAGCCCUGUCAGGUGGGAAGAAUGUCUUCAAGGUGAAUAAUCUUGGGGAGUGACGGUACCACCAGAGGAAGCACCGGCUAACUCCGUGCCAGCAGCCGCGGUAAUACGGAGGGUGCGAGCGUUGUUCGGAAUCAUUGGGCGUAAAGGGCGUGCAGGCGGCUGAUCAAGUCUGAUGUGAAAGCCCGGGGCUCAACCCCGGAAGUGCAUUGGAAACUGACCAGCUUGAGUACCGGAGAGGAUGGGGGAAUUCCCGGUGUAGAGGUGAAAUUCGUAGAGAUCGGGAGGAAUACCAGUGGCGAAGGCGCCCAUCUGGACGGAUACUGACGCUGAGACGCGAAAGCGUGGGGAGCAAACAGGAUUAGAUACCCUGGUAGUCCACGCUGUAAACGAUGAGCACUAGGUGUAGCGGGUAUUGACCCCUGCUGUGCCGCAGCUAACGCAUUAAGUGCUCCGCCUGGGGAAUACGGUCGCAAGACUAAAACU